rnacentral:rRNA from 1 species
UACAGAGGUCUCAAGCGUUUGUUCGGAUUCAUUGGGCGUAAAGGGUGCGUAGGUGGCGAGGUUAGUCAGGUGUGAAAUCUCGGGGCUCAACCCCGAAACUGCACUUGAUACUGCCUUGCUAGAGUACUGGAGAGGAGAUUGGAAUUUACGGUGUAGCAGUGAAAUGCGUAGAUAUCGUAAGGAAGACCAGUGGCGAAGGCGAAUCUCUGGACAGUUACUGACGCUGAGACACGAAAAGCGUGGGUAGCAAACAGG